rnacentral:rRNA from 1 species
GACGAACCGUGCGAACGUUAUUCGGAAUCACUGGGCUUAAAGGGCGCGUAGGCGGGUCCGUAAGUCAGGGGUGAAAUCCCACGGCCCAACCGUGGAAGUGCCUCUGGUACUGCGGGCCUCGAGGGGGAUAGGGGCGUGCGGAACUCAGGGUGGAGCGGUGAAAUGCGCAGAUAUCAGGAGGAACGACCGGUAGGCGGAAGGCGGGUCUGCUCGGGCCGUAACUG